rnacentral:lncRNA from 10 species
GUUUUAAGAAACAGGAGUUUGCCUGCACAAGCUCUCUCUUUGCCUGCUGCCAUCCAUGUAAGACAUGACUUGCUACUCCUUGCCUUCUGCCAUGAUUGUGGGGCUUCCCCAGCCACAUGGAACUGACUCUCCAGAGAGUCGCCACUGGCAGAAGAUUCUCCAGAGACAGUCAUGUGACAUUGGAACUCUCAGCCUCCAGAACUAGUGUGUUUCAGAGCCAGCCACUUAACUGAAGACAGGAAUUCCAAAAUAUUUAUCUACCAAAGAGUUGGCUCAACUUUUCACCAUAGCAUGACUGAGUGAACAUAUUUGAGUUAUCAGUUCUCCUAUUUCAUGACACAGAAAAUUCCCCAAGUGACUGAGAGCUUAUAUUUUCCUGGAACUGAAGACGUGAAUAAGGAUUGAUGUAAUUUUCAUCUGUAAUAUUUCCAGAGAGGAAUUGGGCACAUCUUGACAUUUAGGGAACAGUAGUUAGUAGUAAAUGUUUCUCCAGAGUUUUUAGACUCCAUCGUCACUAUUUAUUAUAGAUUGGAAAUUCAUUUUGGUGGUCUGCUGGUCCAAGACAGUGAAUCACAACCCAAAUAUCAGCCCCUCCCCAUCAAAAGAAGAGAUUAUUCUGUUUCUGGUGUCUAAGGAUUAUUAAAUAUUUGAGAUGAAUUUAUAUUAAUAUGUUACCUUAAAUACAAACAAUCAACAAAAGAUUAAGCUGUCUGUUUUGUGAUCUUAUUUAUUUCUUCAAGAAACAAUGAAAACUUCUCAUUUGGUUUUGGAACUUACUAUUUGGAACUUUAUGAUACAGGAUAUUGUAUGUUAGCCUGAGUCCACCUCCCCCCUUGAAAAAGGAUAGUCAAAUAAUAAACUUUGCCAACUCUGAGGCUCUGUGUAUUCCUGUUCCUGCUCUGAGUGUCCAGGAAGAACAGCAGACUCCUAAGAACAUUAAUGAAAACAACAACAACAACAACAGCAACACGUGAAGGUUACAUUCACAGAGAGAUCUGCCAUAACCAGCACAGCAGCUGGUUGAAAGCUACAGAAGAGACUGAACUGAUUCAAUGCAUGUCAAGAGUUUUUUGUUUGUUUGUUUGUUUUAUUUUAAGUUCUGGGAUACAUGUGCAGAUGUGCAGGAUGUGCAGGUUUGUUACAUCGGUAAACAUGUGCCAUGGUUUGAUAGGUGGUUUGCUGCACCUAUCAACCCAUCACCUAGGUAUUAAGCCCAGUGUGCAUUAGCUAUUUUUCUUGAUGUUCUCCCAACCCUCACCCCCUGACUGGCCCCAGUCUGUGUUGUUCCCCUCCCUGUGUCCAUGUGUUCUUAUUGUUCAGCUCCCACUUAUAAGUGAGAACGCAGUAUUUAGUUUUAUGUUCCUGCAACCCAAAGGAAUAUAUAUCCUUCUAUUAUAAAGAUACAUGAACCUGUAUGUUCAUUGCAGCACUAUUCACAAUAGCAAAGAGUUUUUAACUAUGAGUUCCUUUAAACUUCUUUAUCAAAUAAUUAGCAUUGGAAAAUAUCAUCAUCUAGAAGUUUCUGCGGAUGUCUACUCACAGUAGACUGUGUCUUCGUAAAUGGAUGGGCCACCUCAAAGAUUUUGGUAAGAGUGGGCAUAAAUGGGC